rnacentral:rRNA from 1 species
UGGGGAAUUUUGGACAAUGGGCGCAAGCCUGAUCCAGCCAUGCCGCGUGCGGGAAGAAGGCCUUCGGGUUGUAAACCGCUUUUGUCAGGGAAGAAAUCCUUUGGGNUAAUACCCCGGGGGGAUGACGGUACCUGAAGAAUAAGCACCGGCUAACUACGUGCCAGCAGCCGCGGUAAUACGUAGGGUGCAAGCGUUAAUCGGAAUUACUGGGCGUAAAGCGUGCGCAGGCGGUUAUGCAAGACAGAUGUGAAAUCCCCGGGCUCAACCUGGGAACUGCAUUUGUGACUGCAUAGCUGGAGUGCGGCAGAGGGGGAUGGAAUUCCGCGUGUAGCAGUGAAAUGCGUAGAUAUGCGGAGGAACACCGAUGGCGAAGGCAAUCCCCUGGGCCUGCACUGACGCUCAUGCACGAAAGCGUGGGGAGCAAACAGGAUUAGAUACCCUGGUAGUCCACGCCCUAAACGAUGUCAACUGGUUGUUGGGAAGGUUCCUUCUCAGUAACGUAGCUAACGCGUGAAGUUGACCGCCUGGGAAGUACGGCCGCAAGGUU